rnacentral:tRNA from 1 species
GGGGAUGUAGCUCAGCUGGCUAGAGCGCUUGACUGGCAGUCAAGAGGUCGCGUGUUCGAGUCACGUUAUCUCCA